rnacentral:lncRNA from 1 species
AACCGCGUGGCGGACCUCGGCGAGGCUGGCGUACGAGGCCGGGACCGCGAGGAGCCAAGCCGAAUCGGCGAAGUUGAGGCACGCGCCCGCGCCGGCGAUGGCGAGCAUGGCGGCGUCGUGCGCGCGCGCCGCGGCCUCGGCGGUGUCGAAUGUGCCGAGCCAGAGCCUGCAGCCGCGCCUCCCCGGCACGCGCACCUCGCACACCCACCGCCCGGCGUUGCCCCGGCGCCGGACGCCGCGGAACACGGGGUGCCGCGUCUCGCGGAACUUGGUCCGCCCCGCCGGCCGCUUCGGCGGCGACGUCCACACGGUCUGGUGCUCCGACGAGGCCGAGGGCGAGGCCGAGGCUGAGGCCGACGACUCGGCGCUCAUCUCCUUCUUGAUCGGCGGACACAUCUUGCUCUGGAUCACGCGUGGAACGAUUGCUUCGGUAGUGCUCUCGAGUGGAUGUUGUGCUUACUGUUUGGUUACCUCUGCUGCUGCUGCUUAGAAUUGUGUUCGAGUGGUUUUGCGAUGCGAUGGUGGAUUUGCUGGCGCAUAUUUAUAGGUGGUGGCGGAUGCAGGGGAUAAAACGCGGGAAGGGAGCACACAGCUGGAGAAAGUGAAGCAGAGGAAAGGGGGACGCAUCUGGGUAAGGCCGAGGACGCAACUUGCCGCAGAAAACAGUAGGCACUUCGAGAGUGACCUGAUAUUUUCAUUAUUUAUUCAUAUGUCUAUCGGCAUCAGUAUGGCGCGAGUACGACCACAAGACUGCUUUUGCUUCCGCUAACGGUUUCCGUCUCUCGUAAACCUACAACGGUUUUGUGGGCUUGUCAAAUCCCACUCUUGUUCUUUCUCUAGAAAAAUGUCCGUUAUGGGCGACACCACGAAGUUGGUGAGGAGGUGAGUGUGCGAGGUGGUGGUUAGUAGAUUUGUGUUACUGAGGUGAUCUACGUUGUUUGGCGACAGGUGACAUAAGGAGGUUUUCUAACCGGUACCUAGAGGACCUACGUGAUACUUCUAUCUUUGGUGAGGCAACUAGGUUAUUGAAUGGGAUCGACUUGAUAAGCGCCAGAGACAGCUACUCACACAUUAGUUUGGCAGCUUGUAAUGGGUUACAAUGGCUAGCCCUUCUUGACGGUGGCUAUUCCGGUGUGGUAUAUCGUCUUGAUAGGUGGCGCAAGUGGAUCCGAUUGCAGAACGGCUACACGGCUUGCAGCGACCUACGGCGGCUACUCCUGCUUGGAAGCUAGCUCGCUCGGUAUAGAUUAUCAUCGGUGACGACGACGUGAGUUGUGAUGAUGGUGUUUUCACCUGACGUCCUUAGUCUAGUCUUUUGGGGGUUGGCGGUGCAGUGAGGCGGUUUGGAGAUAAUGGUGGUUCUCUUUUAUUUUUUAUUUUUUGAGUUGAUCUCCGGCUUUGUGUAGUUUGUGUUAAUGUCUCAAUCCGACUCAAUCUGACUAACUAGAGUUGUCUUUUUUUUUCUUUUUGUUGAGUUUGUUUUGCAAUAUGGUUGUUGUUUAUUGUAUCGUUGUGCCUAUUUUAAAUUUAUUUUCUUUUGUUGAGUUUGUUUUGCAAUAUGCCCCACCUCUCAAACAGCGGUUAGCAAUUUCGAUUCUUGGUUCGCUUGGAGCAUGUGCUGUUUGAGAGGUGGGACUCCGUAUAUCUAGAGAGUCUGUGUGGUCAGCACGUCGAAUAAAGGCUUAUGUUUGUCGUCAUUUAAUGAAAAUUGAAUUUCCCUGUUAGUGAAAUGGAUGAAAUCUAUAGUAGUAGUAUGUCAGAAGAAAGAAUUGGCAUUAUGCUGCUGGUUGCGUUCUGCUGCAGCUGCAGGUCUAUUCGCUUGACCUUAUCAGCCGAAUUUAUCAGUUAUUCAAUAGUAUUUUUCUCUCACAACAAAUCAGCUAAGGCCUUGUUUAGUUCCGAAAACUUUUCGGUUUUCGAAACUGUAGCACUUUCGUUUUUAUUUGACAAAUAUUAUCUAAUCAUGUAGUAACUAGGCUUAAAAGAUUCAUCUCGUGAUUUACAGGUAAAUUGUGUAAUUAGUUUUUAUUUUCGUUUAUAUUUAAUACUCCAUGCAUGUGUCACAAGAUUCGAUGUGACGGGAAAUCUUGAAAAGAUUUUGGUUUUUGGGGUGUAGUAUUUUCUGCCAUACCUCAUUAGCCAAACAAACAAUGAACCCGAUGAAUAAGUUAUUUUUUAAAAAAAGAUGGAUUUUCAAACAGAAUCUUAACCGCGGAAAUCUUAAUCUAGAAAUUCUUACGGGCAGACUGGACCCGGUUGAGUCCUAAAGCUCAGGAAACACACAUGUAGGAUUAACUGAAGAGAAAAGUCUUCCUUGACAACCAUCUCGGCAACUCCAUGCUACUGCUCCUGGAGCUGGACCGGCCUCGCGCCAUCGCGAGCCGUCAAAGCUGAUGGAUGGCGACAUUUGGGAGCCGCGAUACUGAAACCACCCAUGGUAUCACAGAGCGGGCACCAGCAGCAGCCGCCAGCCGGGAAGCUCCCGCACCUGAACCGCGUGCGGCAUUCGCCGCAGUCCCGAUCCCACAGUCCUGCUGCUUGCCGCUUCCGCUGUGCCCAAAACCACCAAAAGCGCCCACAGCCCACUUGCUUCCGACCGACCGAGUCCGUUCCGGGGGCAAGCGGACAAGACACUACUGUACCCUCUCGCCCAACUUUGUGGGAGGACGACGGACGGUGGAUGCCUCCGCAGUCCGCACUCCGUCCGCGCCGUCGCAACCAUGGCGAGUCGAGCUGGCGACCCUCAACCUCAAUCGUUCACCAUAUGUCGUCGUCGCUCGCGUCACGGCCAUGGACGAAAAAGGCACGCACGCUCAGUGAGGAGGUGACGGCACGGCCAACCGUACCCCAGCUGUGUCCUCUGUUGCUCGCUUGUGCUUCCGCUCGUGGUAAAGGCCUAAAAGGUUAGUGGAGUAUUCUAGUCUAGUCCAGUUGCCGCUUGGGGGCGGCCAAGCGGGGGCGGCAGCGACGGCGACGUCGCGGGAGGUGCGUAGGCCGCCGCAGCAGGCAGCGACGGGCGCGGCCUGAGCUUAUCCACCCGCGCGCCGUGCACACGCGCUUCUGGCCUGGAUCCACCGUGGCGACCAAAAAAAUAAGUGGGGGUUGGGGGGGGGAGGGAAGGUUAGCCGUUCGCGGUGGGAAUUCGAGUCACUCCUGACGGUCACGGUCCUGGACGGGACGGGUGGAAGAUUUCUUUACAGUUUGCUGAUAAACAACUUGAUUGAAGAAGAAACGUGCAGAACUGAACACCGCGGAGUCCAAUCACCUUAGGCAUAAGCUGUGAUUAGAGGUGUUACAGCUGUACCGAUCGACUCAAUGGAUUGUUUUUCUUUUCGUUUCUUUUCUUUUCGAACAAUGACUCCACGGAGUGUCACACUGAAAUCUUUACAGAUCUUGAUAACAUUUCAUGCUCUCACUUCGGGAUUUCAACCAGCCAGGGUUGAAUGGUUGAUCGAUCCUUCUUCACACUGCCACAGCGAAAAAGAAUUCUUGGAUGCUGAAAUUACCACCCCCCCUUUUUUUUUACAAAUGUAUGGCUUGCACAGCAAUGACGUUGUUCGUGACUGUCAGUCUGCGCGCCUUGACGCAACUGACUGACUCCGUCAACAGUUGACGUGCUGCUGCCCUCCCCCCUUGUGUAGCAUCACUGCUAACAUGCGAGUGUGUCAACGGAGCACGGCCGCUGCACGGGCGAGGGUCGCCCCCUGUUUCCAUUGAAUAGGCGGACGGCUUCUCACUUGACCCUCGGUUAUGGGUUUCGGCCAUAGAAAAAAGAAGUCUGCCAAAUAAACAACAGUACAUGAGACAGACAAGUUGAGGGUCAAACCCUACUAUAACCACCAUGGCGGAGUCCCAGUUGCAUGAUUCCCAAGCCUCGAAUAAUUCUGGUCUCCACAUAUUUAGUUUAGUUUAAUUUAGUAACUAGUUAUAUGCAUUUCUUUUUUGGAAAAGCCAUAAUAGCAAAUCUAUUAAGUGAUUAUUUGAAUAGGAUUCAUGGACCAAAAUAAAAUUCAUCUUUUUACUACCUAUGAAGCAGCACAUACCACUACGUUUGGUACUCUUUUGGCAGUGUGUGAAGUGGACUCUCCCAAGUUUCUUUCAACUCGGAACAGUCGCACUUGUGGCUUUAUCCAUGUCAUUAGGGCUUUGUUUACUUCUAUUUUUUUUUAUAAAAUAGAAAUAGUAACAUUUUUGUUUGUAUUUGACAAAUAUUGUUCAAUCAUAAACUAACUAGGCUCAAAAGAUUCAUCUCGUAAAUUACAAGUAAAUUGUAUAAUUAGAUAUUUAUUUUAUUUAUAUUUAGUGCUCAAUACAUAUGUCGCAAAAUUCGAUGCGAUGAAGAAUGUGAAAAAUUUUGUAAAAUAUUUUGAGAACUAAACAAGGUCUAGAUCCUGUCUCAUGGAUACUAUGGAUCUACAGUUCCUAUUGCAUCCUCUAGUAGGACUGUAGGAAUAGUAAGUGCAAAGGCUGAAGCAAUGAUGCUUUCCUUAGAAAACCAUAGUAUCAUCGUAAGUGCUAAAAAAGGAUUAUAUAUAUAUAUAUAUAUAUAUAUAUAUAUAUAUAUAUAGCUAUGACUUUUCAGAUAAAUAAACAGGCUCUAGUCUUAUAAAAUAUCAAUGGGCAUGCUCUAUUUCGAUGUUUCCCAAACUUGGUCUGUCUCAUCAUUACCAAAUGAAGUAACCGUUACACUGCCAAAACUAGCCAUUAGAGGCCAAGCUUUAGAAACCGAAAAUUUCAGAGUACAACGGCCUCAGAGUCUCUAGUAGCUCCAUAGUGGCACAUCGGCGAAGCCUUCGUCCAUGAACGCGGUGACCGCGGACGGUGGUUCCACGAGCAUCCCCUGCGCCAAGCUCGCGUAGUACAGGUCCCAGCUCAUGUCAUUGAACACGUCCAAUUCGAACGGCGAGGCCCCGGUGGCGGCCGGAGACGAAUCAGAUUCAGAGGACUCCCCGCCAUCAGAGGUGCUUCCGUCGUCGCUGCUGGACGGGGACGACGGCGGCGUCGAGGACGUGGCCGAAAGCGCAUCGUCCUCUUGGACCACCUCACGGAGCAGGAACUCCUCCACGGCCUCCGCGACGGCGUGGCGGACCUCGGCGAGGCUGGCGUACGAGGCCGGCACGGCGAGGAGCCAGGCCGAGUCGGCGAAGUUGAGGCAGGCGCCCGCGCCGGCGAUGGCGAGCAUGGCGGCGUCGUGCGCGCGGGCCGCGGCGUCCGCGGUGUCGAAGGUGCCGAGCCAGAGCCUGCAGCCGCGCCUCCCCGGCACGCGCACCUCGCACACCCACCGCCCGGCGUUGCCCCGCCUCCGGACGCCGCGGAACACCGGGUGCCUCGUCUCCCGGAACUUGGUCCGCCCCGCGGGCCGCUUCGGUCGCG